AUGUAGAGCUACUUGAAAUUUUGCUUUUAAACUCUUCCCAAUGAUGUCUUAUUUCAAAACAAGAUGGAAGUUUUUCAGGACUGAAACUUUCCCCAGUUUUUGUUGAACCUCUCUCAAAAUCUCCAGAUUUCAACAGAAACAGUCAUACUGCACCCCACUUUGAAAGUUUCUUUUGAAUUCCUGUGAGGAAAUCUGUGAUUUUUAUUUGUGCGUCAUCUUGACUUCAAAGGUGUAGGAAAACAUUUCAGAACCCAUGGGUUUGGUCAACGGGCCUAGUUUGGUUGCUGAUCGGGACGAUGUGUCCUCAGACUGCUACAAAACCAGAGCUGCAGAAAAAUGCAGCUGAUGCGACCGAUGCUGACUCAACUCCAGGGGAUGGAAACGCAAGCCAGAUUGAAGCCAGAGGCAAAAGGUUUCCUGCAAGAGUCAUUGGACUGUGUCUGGAGAAGACGUUCCUCCUCAGGAAGGACAGGAGGUGCCCGUGGUCAAGGCUGGGGCAAGUGCCGGGGUCAGAGGAAUACCUGGACCAAGCCAUUGCAGAGCAUCCUGAGGCAACGAUGCUUCUUUUGUAUACCUGUUUAUUGCAAUUGCAAGCUUUGGAUGAAAAGCACUUUGUCUUCAUGUGUGCCACUUCAUCAACUAGCAAAUUGGAGUCAGGGAGCAAAUAUAUGGAGACCAAACACAGGUUAUUCUGCACUGCAUAGGUACGUGUGUGCAUACAUAUCCUUAUGCAAGUGCACGCUAUCUCUCCAGUAACCUUUUCUGUCCCUUCUUAGCUUUGUCAAUGUCAAGGUAAAAAUGUGUUCUCUUUGUUUCUUGUCUUUUUAAGCAGUUUUCCUGGCCCGUUGUUCUUCAUUUUUCAUUUGAUUUGAAUCUAAGCUGUGAGGAAGAUGAACCUUUCACCUGCUGAAGAACAUCACUCUUGUGAAUAAGAAUCUAUAUUAAAAGAUGUUAAAAUUCUCUGCAGAAAUGAGUGUUUUAAAGGUAGUUAGAUCUAUUGCCUUUCAAAUCUGACUUUUCAUAUUGCAUUAUAUUGCUCAGUAUAAUGUGUGAAACAUGUAAAGGGUAUAUCAGAG
rnacentral:lncRNA from 1 species